AACGAACGCUGGCGGCAUGCCUAACACAUGCAAGUCGAACGAGACCUCCGGGUCUAGUGGCGCACGGGUGCGUAACGCGUGGGAACCUGCCCUUAGGUUCGGAAUAACUCCCCGACAGGGGUGCUAAUACCGGAUAAUGUCUUCGGACCAAAGAUUUAUCGCCUUUGGAUGGGCCCGCGUUGGAUUAGCUUGUUGGUAGGGUAAAAGCAUACCAAGGCGACGAUUCAUAGCUGGUUUGAGUGGAUGAUCAGCCACACUGCGACUGAGACACGGCCCAGACUCCUACGGGAGGCAGCAGUGGGGAAUAUUGGACAAUGGGCGAAGGCCUGAUCCAGCAAUGCCGCGUGAGUGAUGAAGGUAUUAAGGUUGUAAAGCUCUUUUACCCGGGAUGAUAAUGACGGUACCGGGAGAAUAAGCUCCGGCUAACUACGUG
rnacentral:rRNA from 1 species